GCGGGAUGAAUAGCAUCGGUGGGAUUGGAUAUAGAGUUCAAGCAAUAGAGUCCUUAGUUAGUCAGUUGAUUUUGUGAUAUCAAAUAAAUGUCUUAAUUUUGUAAACAUUAUUCAAUAAAGAUAAAUUGAUUUGAUUUGAUAAAUAUGAUCAAACUUUUAUAAUUUCUUUGUAUUCUUGUGGACUUAUUUAUUAUUUAGGCCUUGCAUGAUCUUUAGAACAUUGCUCUAGAAUUGAUGUGGUUAUGU
rnacentral:lncRNA from 1 species